rnacentral:rRNA from 1 species
GUUCAGAACGUCGUGAGACAGUUCGGUCCCUAUCCGUCGUGGGCGUAGGAAAUUUGAGAGGAGCUGUCCUUAGUACGAGAGGACCGGGAUGGACAUACCUCUGGUGUACCAGUUGUCGUGCCAACGGCAUAGCUGGGUAGCUAUGUAUGGACGGGAUAAGUGCUGAAAGCAUCUAAGCAUGAAGCCCCCCUCAAGAUGAGAUUUCCCAACUUCGGUUAUAAGAUCCCUCAAAGAUGAUGAGGUUAAUAGGUUCGAGGUGGAAGCAUGGUGACAUGUGGAGCUGACGAAUACUA